UACGUAGGGUGCAAGCGUUGUCCGGAAUUAUUGGGCGUAAAGGGCGCGUAGGCGGCCAACUAAGUCAGACGUGAAAUCCCUCGGCUCAACCGGGGAACUGCGUCUGAUACUGGAUGGCUUGAGUUCGGGAGAGGGAUGCGGAAUUCCAGGUGUAGCGGUGAAAUGCGUAGAUAUCUGGAGGAACACCGGUGGCGAAGGCGGCAUCCUGGACCGACACUGACGCUGAGGAGCGAAAGCCAGGGGAGCAAACGGG
rnacentral:rRNA from 1 species